AACGAACGCUGGCGGCAGGCCUAACACAUGCAAGUCGAGCGAGGACUUCGGUCCUAGCGGCGGACGGGUGAGUAACGCGUGGGAACGUGCCCCUUGGUACGGAAUAGCCCCGGGAAACUGGGAGUAAUACCGUAUGAGCUCUACGGAGGAAAGAUUUAUCGCCAAGGGAUCGGCCCGCGUUGGAUUAGGUAGUUGGUGGGGUAAUGGCCUACCAAGCCGACGAUCCAUAGCUGGUUUGAGAGGAUGAUCAGCCACACUGGGACUGAGACACGGCCCAGACUCCUACGGGAGGCAGCAGUGGGGAAUCUUAGACAAUGGGCGCAAGCCUGAUCUAGCCAUGCCGCGUGAGCGAUGAAGGCCUUAGGGUUGUAAAGCUCUUUCAGCUGGGAAGAUAAUGACUGUACCAGCAGAAGAAGCCCCGGCUAACUCCGUGCCAGCAGCCGCCGCGGUAA
rnacentral:rRNA from 1 species